CAGUCGGCGCAUACCUGUGCAAAGAUAAACUCUUACAGACUCUAUAAAUAUUUCGCGUUUAAUCUAAAACAACAUUUGAACGAUGUUUUCCGAACUAGAGUCGGAAAACUUUCUCCUUCUGUCACAUCGCCAGGCACUCUCGUCAGUUCGGUGAUCUCUGCUCAAUUGCAAAUUCCUUGCAACCUGUCGAAGCGCGAGCAGAGACAAUGGCCAGACGCGUGAGCUGUAAAGCGAAUUGCAUUGUCAAAUUAUAAAUAGACAGCUCAUAAAAUAUACUCAUGCUUGCGUUUGAA